ensembl:lncRNA
GCAGUACAAAAUAAUUGACAUGCAUUUCCUAAAAUACUUGAGAAUUUCCAGUUUGCACCUUCAUGGUGCAAGGAAUUUUAUUUGCUUAGUGGGUCAUAGAAAUUACUGGAUCUAGGCUGCAGCUAUACAAAAUAAUUGAGAUGCAUCUCCUAUAAUACUUGGGAAUUUCCAGUUUGCACCUUCAUGGUCCAAGGAAUGUUAUUUGCUUAGUGGGUCAUAGAAAUUACUAGGGCCAGAUUGCAGCUACACUAAAUGGCAAAGAGACUUUCCCCCAGCCUGGAAGAAGAGGAGACCUUACUUCACGUCGUCAUCCUCAAGCCAGCAAUGGAAGAAGCCCACUCUGCUCAUUUUCUUCAUUGAAGACUUCAGCAUCCACACGGCUGUCACUCGAGAUUCCAGCUCCACCAUCCAGCAAAAGCAUCCUCAGGCAUCCCUCUGUGUGUGUCACCCCUUAGCAUCUUUGCCAUUUCUGUGUAUGCUGCAGAUCAACCAAAUUCCUUUGAUGCAUCUCUAGUCCUGCUGGGUGAUAGAGAUACUGCACCCAAGCUACAGCUAAACUCACAAGCUCCCUGAGCCCUUAAGGGUGUCUCCGGGCAGNGAGAGGACAGGGAGGGACAGGGACAAUCCAGCCCUGUCACUGGACAUUCCGUACUCCUGAUAAGAGUCCCGGGUUCUUUAUUGCGUCUGGCGUGCCUUUGCACAAGCGCAGCACUUGCAGAAAAAUGACCCGGAUGUCGGAAGAGCCUGUCCACUUCCCUUUGCAUUUUUCGCACUCUUCCUGCAUUUGGAGAUUCGCAAGGGCAGCGAUUGGGUGGAGAAGCUGCAGACAAGGUAAGAGCCAGGAUUUGUAAAGGAAGGUUGGAAAAUCCAGGGUCAGAGUUNGAAAAAGGCUNUUGGCACCUCUGUGCUAGCCUUACUCCUCCUGGCCAUAGAGAUUACUGGGCUCAGGAUUCNACCAGAGAAAAUAACUGAGAUGCAUCUCCUAGAACACUUGAGGAACUGCACUUUGCACCUUCAAGGUGGCACAAAGUUUAUUUGCUGAAUGAGUCAUAGAGAUUACUGGACUCAGGUGUGUAGCAAUACAAAAUAAUNGACUUGCAUUUCCUAAAAUACUUGAGAAUUUCCAGUUUGCACCUUCAUGGUGCAAGGAAUUUUAUUUGCUUAGUGGGUCAUAGAAAUUACUAGGGCCAGACUGCAGCUACACUAAAUGGCAAAGAGACUUUCCCCCAGCCUGGAAGAAGAUGACACGGUCCAUCAACGCAUCGUCCUCAAGGCAUUUGGAGACUUUAGCAUCCUUAUGAGUGAGAACCUUGAUUUGUUUUUUCUUGGGAGUUAAGAAAUGUGGUGGUUUUCUUUUUGCUGAGUUGUGACACAGUGGAAGAGGCAAAACUGUUAUUAAUAGGGAGGGCUGUGGUAGGUGGACAGCAUUAGCAUGACAUGGGUGGGCUGUGGGGUCUCUGAGUACAGAUUCAGGAGCUUUUGGAGUGAUUUGUUGGGAGAACAUGAUUGACCCCUUUCUUUUUUAAAGGACGAAUUCCCCAUACCUGAUUUUCUGUUGGCUCAGUGGUUUGAAAUUUCCUAGUCAGAACUCUGGGAUCCUAGUUCCUAGAUUUCUGGUCACCACUCUGUAUUGCUAGCAGUAUUUGAGGUUUGUCACCUUGCUAAUAGGCAGAAGUAUAUGCAAGUCAGUAUAGUAAUCCUGUCUUCUUCUGAGCGUAAUAUUCGCUUUGGGAGCUUUUUUUGGCAUGUGGAUUCUUCAGCUUCACGAACCUGCUCUCUUGCAUUUCCAUCUCUUUGUUGGUGGCUCGGUGGAUACCUCUAGUCUGCCUGCCCACCUGCCUGUCAAAGUUGCUGGGAAAGCAAAGGCAGUGCAUUUGUCCCAUAAGUAAGUAAACAGAGAAAAACAAAACAAAAUGUGAAUGUGAAGAGAUGAACAUAAAUGUAGCACAUGAAGUGUGUUGCCUAGAAACACAUUUACAAAGAAUUAUCUUCUAAGUCAGAGUUUAGCAGUAAACAGGAAAGUAUCUUUCUCUGAACUGCAGUUUGCAAAGGCCAUGCAUGUUUUACUUACAUAUAUCUUAAGUAAAACAAGCACUGAUAGUGAACUGCGGUUGUAACAAGGAAGCAAUUCCAGUGAACCCUGUUAAUUUUGUAUAAAUAGGAUGCUUCCCAAAAUCCCUCAAAGAAUAAUAAAUAGAUUUUCUUGCUUUCA